rfam:Ovis aries breed Texel chromosome 5, whole genome shotgun sequence.
UCCCUGGUGGUCCAGUGGCUAAUGCUCUGCACUCCCAAUGCAGGGGCCUGGGGUUCAAUCCCUGGUCAGGGAA